ACAUAAUAUCACCAAAGGAUUCUUGUGAGCUGUCUUGCUUUUUGUGAUUAUUGAGAACUAUCCCACAGUCCCCCACCCUCAUUUGCCCAGCUUUUUCUCCUUUUAUUGGAUGGAUGGCUCUUGGGAGCUGGUGACGCCAUUGUAAUAGUAUAAACUAGAAAUAUUACUACAAAGAUAACAUUAGGCAAGAAUGUGAUUGAUUGUUACCAUGGAACUAAAUACAGCUUUAUCUCCAUUAUUAUCAUUCAACAGCACAAAAACCCCACAGCAGAAAGGGAAUCCUCAUCUGUAUAUGAUGACCAAAACAGGAAUACUCCAUAUCAUAAGCCUUAAGAAGCAAGUCUAU
rnacentral:lncRNA from 1 species